CUACCCCAGAAUCUGGAAUAACCUGCCGAAAGGCGGGCUAAUACUGGAUAGAGCGAUGGAAUCCGUAAUUGGGUUUUUCGGGAAAGGGAGCUCGCAAGAGCCUUCGUUUUGGGAUGAGCCUGCGUCUCAUUAGCUAGUUGGUGAGGUAAAAGCUCACCAAGGCUUUGAUGGGUAGCUGGUCUGAGAGGAUGAUCAGCCACACUGGAACUGAAACACGGUCCAG
rnacentral:rRNA from 1 species